UACGGAGGAUGCAAGCGUUAUCCGGAAUGAUUGGGCGUAAAGCGUCCGCAGGUGGCUGUGUAAGUCUGCUGUCAAAGAGCGAAGCUCAACUUCGUAAAGGCAGUGGAAACUACACGGCUAGAGUAGCGUUCGGGGUCGGAGAGGGAAGGUUACCUUCUGGGUGUAGCGGUGAAAUGCGUAGAGAUCAGGAAGAACACCGGUGGCGAAGGCGCUCUGCUAGGCCGCAACUGACACUGAGGGACGAAAGCUAGGGGAGCGAAUGGG
rnacentral:rRNA from 1 species